GAUAUGCUCAAGGGCAUGUCUCUGAUCACCGUGCAGAAUAGAAUCACAGAAUUACAUAAAAUAGCCAACGUCGAACCAAUGAUCAAGCUUCUCUGAAACAUAGAUUCGAUCGUGUCGUUUAACGAUGCGCGGAAAUGUACGUAUAACGAAGAAACUGGUAGAAACGGAAUAUGUUACUUUUGAUAAAUUCACUUCGUAAUUCCACUUUGAAAGAAGUUGGCACGUGAUCAUUCCUAUGAGAUACGGCUGUAUUCUGAUCCAAGGCCGUACAUAAAGGUACGUCAACGUCCUAUAUUGUUCGUCCAAUCUAAGAAAGUUGGUAAUCGAGAGUGUACGCCGUGUAAAGGCUUGAUCCUAUGGACGAAAGCAGCGUAACACAGCCUAUUCCCAGGGCGAUAUUGUAAUGUCUGA